UGCAGCAGCUCCCACCAAAUUCCGGCUCGUCUUUGUCAGUUUCAGAGUCACAGAGCUAUGACAUGAUGUGCCCAUGUCCUCCUGACAGGUGAUGACAGGUGAUGUGCCCAUGUCCUCCUGACAGGUGAUGACAGGUGAUGUGCCCAUGUCCUCCUGACAGGUGAUGACAGGUGAUGUGCCCAUGUCCUCCUGACAGGUGAUGACAGGUGAUGUGCCCAUG